ACCCUAGGAUUUCUGCCUGGGGUUCGGGAAGUGAGAAGUGAGCUACGAGUGUCGUGAGCCCACCAAACUUUAGGGAGAGCUUCAUCAACCUCUCUACUACAUCUAUUGAUGAUCUAAAGUAUCCAAAGAGUCGAUAGAUCAAGAUCGAAGGAGUUUAUCGACUGUCAAAAAGAUUCUGCAAUGAACUAGCAUUCGUGAGGAGCCGAUCAGAUCGAGAGCUUCGUAUGGAUGAUCCGUAGAGGUUAGACAUACUAUGUGGUUGUAUUAUGAUGAUCAGAUCCUCUCGAUGAUGAUCAGAUUGUGGUGAUCGACUAUCCGUACGA
rnacentral:lncRNA from 1 species